rnacentral:rRNA from 1 species
UACGUAGGGUGCGAGCGUUAAUCGGAAUUACUGGGCGUAAAGCGUGCGCAGGCGGUUGGUUAAGUCUGCUGUGAAAGCCCCGGGCUCAACCUGGGAAUGGCAUUGGAAACUGGCCAGCUGGAGUGUGGCAGAGGGGGGUGGAAUUCCGCGUGUAGCAGUGAAAUGCGUAGAGAUGCGGAGGAACACCGAUGGCGAAGGCAGCCCCCUGGGCCAGCACUGACGCUCAGGCACGAAAGCGUGGGGAGCAAAAGGG